AGGAGAGCCAUCCUGACGACCGGUGUGAGCAACAUCUCUGCGAGCGGUGAACGGGUACCUUCGGCAGCCGGCAGAUUACGACAGUGGUCUACUGCAGGGAACUGCGACUUUGUUUGCUUGCAGGCAAUGCUCCCCAAGGGGAACUCCAAUUCCCUUGACAGUGCCGUGGACUAACCUGCGCUAGCGGCACAGGACCUGCUACAGCAGGUGACAUCACUCGGUACUCUAUGCUGUCUCGAUAGCACCUCCGCCGUCACCGGACACCCUGCUGCUCUGCCCGAACUUAACGCUACCGACGCUUUCCGGCCACAGCGACCCAGGUCAGAAGAUUUCGUCAUCGACUCGGACGCUUGCAAAACCGACGAGACCGUCCGGCGUAGAGUAUUGUCCGCAACUCCUGCCUGGCUGUCCUUCCCUCUGACAUUUUCCACUUGUCAGACGUUUGAAAAGGUGGGAGUGUGGCGAUGGCAAGCGUUCAUCGCUGAUAGUCACCUUAGACGUGUAGUCUCCUUUUGAUACUGUGCUGGAACCUGAAGCUUGUUAACCCGUAACGCUGCCAGCGCGGAAAAGAAAUGCAUCUAACAGUGACUGUUCCCGGCGGCAGCCAGAUUACGACGCAGUAGUCUUCUGCAGGAAAUGGCAGUGUAAGCAAAUAAACAUGCUGAACCUGA